AACUCCCCUCCCUUCCCUUCGCUUCCCUUCUCUCAUUUUCCCUUAACUUUCCUUCACCCCCUACAAAUCCAAACAUGCCCUAAAUUCUUCCUUAAUCGCUCUCUCCCCAGCCCCUCUUCCCCAUCUCUCUCUGAAUUAUUUUGACGGUCGAUCUCCUCACAUCCACUGAUGUAUAUGUCCUAAACCUCCACCGCUGAUCUCCGGCCACGGCCAUUGUCUAAAACCCUUAAAAAAACCCACCCUUUUCCCCAAAAUUCCUGCAAUUUCCCCAAAAUCUCAACUCUCUCUCUCUACCCCUCGCCAUAGGGACCUCAGCUCAAGUCACUCCUCUCUCCGGCGUCUACAACAAGAACCCCCUCUGCUACCUCCUCUCCGUCGAAGGCUUCAACUUCCUAAUGUUUUGCCGCUAGAACGAUCAAUUCGAUGUCAAUCUCCUCCAACCCCUCUCCGAGUUCAAAUCCCUCACUUAAAUUUGAGUUUUUGAUCGAAACCCUAGAACCAAUCACGUCCAAUUUGCAGGAUGGUCUCGAAGAUCGAUGUGGUUUUGAUAUCACAUUCAAAUAUACUUCAUGUUGAGACUCUGUCAUAUGCGAUGAAGAAGCUAGGGCUAUCUGCGCCCGUGUAUUCGACGGACCCAGUGUGCAGACUUGGGCAGCUGACGAUGUAUGAUUACUAUGCCGCUCGCAGGCAAGUUUUAGAUUUUCGACUUAUUCACCAUGGACGAUAUUGAUUUGCCUUCCAAAACAUUACGAGGCUGAGAUACUCCCAAAACCAUCAUCUUCUGAUAAAGGAGAGGGAAUCGCAUAGCUCAUCAUGUCACAGACCAUCUUCUGGGAGGUACCGUCUGGAAGAUAACAAAAGAUGGAGAAGAUGUUGUGUAUGCCGUUGACUUCAAUCGUCGGAAAGAACAGUUAAGUACCAUUUAAACGAAGAUUUGUAUUCUUAUUUAAUGAUCAUAAGGUUGUACUCACUAAAUUGGUUUAUCAGGCACUUGAAUGGAACUGUCCUUGAAUCUUUUGUCUGGCCUGCUUUUCUGAUAACAGAUGCUUACAAUGCUUUAAACAAUCAAGUUUACAAAUGUCAAAGGGACCAAGAGUUUCUUGGUUGAAGUAAAUGGAAAGGAGGCUACUACUCUUUAUAAGUUCUUGAAAUAAAAAAUGAGGUUUUUUUGGGUGAUGAUAUCAAGUGGAAUUUUACUAAGUUCCUUGUGAACAAAGAAGAAAAAGUCGUGGAAAGAUAUGCACCAACCACCACAUCUUUAAAAAUAGAGGUACUACUUUGACAGUGUACUAUAUAAUUUUAUUUUACUUUUAUUUGUACUUAUUAUUGCUACUAUACUUUAUCUUCCAUAAAACAAUACAGAGCCUUUUGGGGUUUGCAUGAAUUUAAGUGCCUUCUUUGAGGAACUAUAUUAAUGAUAAUGCAAGUAUGUGACCUUAUGUAUGAAUAAAGGGAUGCUUCUUCUAAAAAACUUGUAUAUUGAUGGAAAUUCAUUAGCUUCUUGUUGUAUGUAAUAAACAUUAUUUAUUUUAAAUUAUUGGCAAAAAUAUUAUUUAUUUUAAA